GUGCUCGCUUUGGCAGCACAUACACUAAAAUUGGAAGGAUCCAGAGAAGACUGGCAUGGCCUCUGUGUAAGGAUGACACGCAAAUUCCUGAAGCAUUCCAUUUUUUU